AAUACCAAUAUACUUUCAUUCAUUCUAAUUUGCAUCCUGAGUUCCUCCCGUUGUUUAUUUUAGGGUAAACAAAACACUGGGGCCAUUUUCCACGGGUUUCCCAAUAUUGAUCAUACUCAAGACUUUGUGAGAAAGGAUAUCAUAAGAUGGCUUCAGUUUCUACGCCAUAAAGUAGGCUUUCAGGAUUUUCGUUUUGAUUUUGCAAAAGGCUAUUCACCAAAAUAUGUGAAAGAAUUAUCAACAACCGGGCUCAAUUAGUGCAUAUACCAGCCUCAUUGGAUCCUCAGAUACCGUUACCGUCAACAGACUGUCCAAUUUGUGAUGCAACGGUUGGAGUUGUUAGGCACCACUAACAGUCUGAUGUCAGGCAGGAGUUAUUACAACAUCCUUAAUUGUGAGUUGUUUAUUCUUUAUCAGUAAAUUGGGCGUAUUGGAUACGAAGUAAUACA